rnacentral:rRNA from 1 species
CGGCAAAAGCUCAAAUUUGAAAUCUGGUACCUUUGGUGCCCGAGUUGUAAUUUGGAGAGUACCACUUUGGGACUGUACUUUGCCUAUGUUCCUUGGAACAGGACGUCAUGGAGGGUGAGAAUCCCGUGUGGCGAGGGUGUCAGUUCUUUGUAAAGGGUGCUCGAAGAGUCGAGUUGUUUGGGAAUGCAGCUCUAAGUGGGUGGUAAAUUCCAUCUAAAGCUAAAUACAGGCGAGAGACCGAUAGCGAACAAGUACAGUGAUGGAAAGAUGAAAAGAACUUUGAAAAGAGAGUGAAAAAGUACGUGAAAUUGUUGAAAGGGAAGGGCAUUUGAUCAGACAUGGUGUUUUGCGCCCCUUGCCUCUCGUGGGCUUGGGACUCUCGCAGCUCACUGGGCCAGCAUCGGUUUUGGCGGCCGGAAAAAACCUAGGGAAUGUGGCUCUGCGCCUCGGUGUAGAGUGUUAUAGCCCUGGGGAAUACGGCCAGCCGGGACCGAGGACUGCGAUACUUGUUAUCUAGGAUGCUGGCAUAAUGGUUAUAUGCCGCCCGUCUUGA